CUUGCUUUGGCUACUAGGAGGCUUUUAAGUCAAAUUUAAGCUCAUUUCUAGCCACCAUGUAAGACCUGGUGGCUUACAUUUAUAUACCAAAUGUAUUACGUGCUUCUUUGCCCAUUACCAUCACUUCCGAGUUUUUUGUUUUAACCUCUUGAGUACAUGUCUAUUAGUAUAAGCUGCCACACUUCCUUUAGAGUAUGAUGUGUGAGAAAUAUAAAUAAGCCUUUAUUCUAACAUUUGUAAGUAGCUUUAAGAGGGGAUAGAAUGGGAACUGAAAGUCUGAGUUUGGGCCCAGACUACAAGACUUUGAUUGGAAUGUGGCCCAUGUCUUGAGUUUGUUGCUAGGUAUGUAGCCUAACCUCCCUGAGGCUGUUUUACCCUUGUAAGAUGGGAACAUUAAUCCCUUCCUCACCGGAUUGUUAAAAUAACUAAAUUGUAAAAUGUAUGCAAAAGUGCUUACCUGGCAUGGAGUAAGUCAUUAAAAAUUGUUUUUGUUUUUAUUAGACAUGUUCUAAUAGGAACAACAUUCAUUUAAAUUUCAAAAACAUGCCCUAAUUCUGAACACUUUUUUUUUUUUGAGACUGAGUUUCUCUCUGUCGCCCAGGCUGGAGUGCAAUGGCGCAAUCUCGGCUCACUGUAGCCUCUGCCUCCCGGGUUCCAGUGAUUCUCGUGCCUCAGCUUCCCAAGUAGCUG
rnacentral:lncRNA from 1 species